CCAAGAAGAAGACUGCCAAUUUACACACCAUUUUAUACAGUUACAGUAUGAUAUGGUGAACAAAAUGCCUCAAUGCAGCCAGUUCUGGAGCUUAGGCUAGACAAUGUACAGUAGACAUCAAAAGAUGAUCAUCUGAAGGGCCACAAUUAUUUAAAGCACUGGU
rnacentral:lncRNA from 1 species